AAUAUCACAGUCAAACAUCAGGCUACAUAACCUCUUCUGUGCUAUGUUUUUAUUAAUUAAGUAAAUCUCCAACAACGAUAUUAUACGGAUGGGGUGGAGAAAAUAUGAUAAAUAAAACAAUACCUUAAUUAUCCAGGCAAAACCACCGCAGGAUAACCGAUACACGACCAAAAACAAACAACACCAGCCGUUGAUGAAAUGUCCAGAGUACAUUAUUGACUGCAAGAUUUCCAGUUUCUCCACGAUAGUAUAAUUAUCGAUGUAAUAUUAAAACGUGCUCGCGUUGCGGGCACGAACGUGUAUAUUAUUAAUUUUUAAAUAAAUUUUCUAUUCGAUGUGUACCCUUCAAUGGUGAUUUGUUUAAGAGCAAUUCCGUCGUUGAUUAUCCCAAUCCAUGAAUUGUCGAUGUAAUAUUAAAAACGUGCUCGCGUUGCGGGCACAAACGUGUAAAAUUAUUAAUUUUAAUAAAAUGUUUAUUCGAAGUGUAUCCUUCAAGGGUGAUUUGUUUAAGAGAGCUCAUUUUUAAAUUGUUUUUGGCUUUUUUACUCGGUUCUGUAUUCCUACGCGAACUACGUUGUUUUUCGUUUGUUAAAUUUUAAUAAUUAUUGCGCAUGGUGGCUAUUCACACGUUAGCGUGUACUAACGUCCGUUCACACGCUAGCGUGAUUUUAAUUCAACUUUUUUAAUUGAAUGAUUUUUCUUUAUUUUUUUAUUUUGUGUGUGUGUUUAGAUUUAGAUAGGGUUUUUCUGUCCCCAUUCGUAUAAUGAUUUUGAUCGCGCUUAUUACUAUAAUUUGACUGAUUUUUAAUUACUGUCAACCAAACCUACAAUCAAAAUACUUUGAACCUUAUUGAACGGUUCAGUCUCCCCCACUUUAAGGAGAAAUACUGUUGUAUUUCGGAAUUUAUUAUUGUCUACUAGUUUUAGGUACAGGGAUACGUCGCAACCUAUUCCUCCCUACAAUUUUAGAAGGAGGGAGUCCCGUAACUCAUAGCCUAUCACAUCAUCUCCGGCCCGUAGGCGCUGGAUGAUGAGCCGUAGCUCAGGAUCUUCCUCCCGCUGACGUUGCAGAGAGGUAAAGGUUUGUGGUAC